AUGAAGUUGGAAAGACAACAGUUUCUGGAAGAAAAGGAUUUUACACCAAGCCUCACAGAUAAUUGUGGUAUCUUUCAUCUUGUGUUUUCCUUCAUCCCACUCUAACAAACAUCCAAGAAGGAAAAGAUGAUCUGUGUCGACCUGAAAACAAGCUAGCCUUUUUUCUCCAUUACUGCCCUAAAGAGAUACCGUAGCAUACAGAAGCCAAUUGCACUUCGCUGGAUGGCACGCGUGGCACACAUGAGGAGUAUACCACAGGAAGUUCAUUCUGCAUGGAGUUCGGUUUUUGAACCUCAAGAGAAACUGCUUGGAUGAACAAUUUUACCACCAGGAGAAACAAUGGACUAUAACCC